AGCCGGAACAGCCGACAGUAACUCGGCUGUCUGCCGGGGACGGUCUCCCGGUACUGAUGAUGGCAGACCAAA
rnacentral:hammerhead_ribozyme from 2 species